GACGAACGCUGGCGGCGCGCCUAACACAUGCAAGUCGAACGAGCGAGAGAGAGCUUGCUUUCUCGAGCGAGUGGCGAACGGGUGAGUAACGCGUGAGGAACCUGCCUCAAAGAGGGGGACAACAGUUGGAAACGACUGCUAAUACCGCAUAAGCCCACGGUGCCGCAUGGCACAGAGGGAAAAGGAGCAAUCCGCUUUGAGAUGGCCUCGCGUCCGAUUAGCUAGUUGGUGAGGUAAUGGCCCACCAAGGCGACGAUCGGUAGCCGGACUGAGAGGUUGAACGGCCACAUUGGGACUGAGACACGGCCCAGACCCCUACGGGAGGCAGCAGUGGGGAAUAUUGCACAAUGGGGGAAACCCUGAUGCAGCGACGCCGCGUGGAGGAAGAAGGUCUUCGGAUUGUAAACUCCUGUUGUUGGGGAAGAUAAUGACGGUACCCAACAAGGAAGUGACGGCUAACUACGUG
rnacentral:rRNA from 1 species